UACAGAGGUCUCAAGCGUUGUUCGGAUUCAUUGGGCGUAAAGGGUGCGUAGGUGGCGCUGUAAGUCAGAUGUGAAAUUUCGGAGCUUAACUCCGAAACUGCAUUUGAUACUGCGGUGCUUGAGGACUGGAGAGGAGAUUGGAAUUCACGGUGUAGCAGUGAAAUGCGUAGAUAUCGUGAGGAAGACCAGUGGCGAAGGCGGAUCUCUGGACAGUUCCUGACACUGAGGCACGAAGGCCAGGGAGCAAACAGG
rnacentral:rRNA from 1 species